rnacentral:rRNA from 1 species
GACCGAUAGUGAACCAGUACCGUGAGGGAAAGGCGAAAAGAACCCCGGCGAGGGGAGUGAAACAGAACCUGAAACCGUGUACGUACAAGCAGUGGGAGCCCCACCACCAAAGCGUUUCGCUUUGCGUGGUGCGCAAAAUGCGUAACGACAGCACGAUUGCGGUUAACGGAGCGUAAGCGACGUUCAACACAAAAAUCAGGCAGUGGAGCGUUUUGGGGUGGGGUGACUGCGUACCUUUUGUAUAAUGGGUCAGCGACUUAUAUUCUGUAGCAAGGUUAACCGCAUAGGGGAGCCGGAGGGAAACCGAGUCUUAAUUGGGCGUUAAGUUGCAGGGUAUAGACCCGAAACCCGGUGAUCUAGCCAUGGGCAGGUUGAAGGUUGGGUAACACUAACUGGAGGACCGAACCGACUAAUGUUGAAAAAUUAGCGGAUGACCUGUGGCUGGGGGUGAAAGGCCAAUCAAACCGGGAGAUAGCUGGUUCUCCCCGAAAGCUAUUUAGGUAGCGCCUCGUGAAUUCAUCUCCGGGGGUAGAGCACUGUUUCGGCCAGGGGGCCAUCCCGGCUUACCAAUCCGAUGCAAACUGCGAAUACCGGAGAAUGUUAUCACGGGAGACACACGGCGGGUGCUAACGUCCGUCGUGAAGAGGGAAACAACCCAGACCGCCAGCUAAGGUCCCAAAGUCAUGGUUAAGUGGGAAACGAUGUGGGAAGGCCCAGACAGCCAGGAUGUUGGCUUAGAAGCAGCCAUCAUUUAAAGAAAGCGUAAUAGCUCACUGGUCGAGUCGGCCUGCGCGGAAGAUGUAACGGGGCUAAACCAU